UAGGGAAUCUUCGGCAAUGGACGGAAAGUCUGACCGAGCAACGCCGCGUGAGUGAAGAAGGUUUUCGGAUCGUAAAGCUCUGUUGUAAGAGAAGAACGAGUGUGAGAGUGGAAAGUUCACACUGUGACGGUAUCUUUCCAGAAAAGGACGGCUAACUACGUGCCAGCAGCCGCGGUAAUACGUAGGUUCCGAGCGUUGUCCGGAUUUAUUGGGCGUAAANCGAGCGCAGGCGGUUAGAUAAGUCUGAAGUUAAAGGCUGUGGCUUAACCAUAGUACGCUUUGGAAACUGUUUAACUUGAGUGCAAGAGGGGAGAGUGGAAUUCCAUGUGUAGCGGUGAAAUGCGUAGAUAUAUGGAGGAACACCGGUGGCGAAAGCGGCUCUCUGGCUUGUAACUGACGCUGAGGCUCGAAAGCGUGGGGAGCAAACAGGAUUAGAUACCCUGGUAGUCCACGCCGUAAACGAUGAGUGCUAGGUGUUAGACCUUUCCGGGGUUUAGUGCCGCACCUAACGCAUUAAGCACUCCGCCUGGGGAGUACGACCGCAAGGUUG
rnacentral:rRNA from 1 species